GAUGAACGCUGGCGGCGUGCCUAAUACAUGCAAGUCGAGCGAACAGAUGAGGAGCUUGCUCCUCUGACGUUAGCGGCGGACGGGUGAGUAACACGUGGAUAACCUACCUAUAAGACUGGGAUAACUUUGGGAAACCGGAGCUAAUACCGGAUAAUAUAUUGAACCGCAUGGUUCAAUAGUGAAAGACGGUUUUGCUGUCACUUAUAGAUGGAUCCGCGCCGCAUUAGCUAGUUGGAAGGUAACGGCUUACCAAGGCAACGAUGCGUAGCCGACCUGAGAGGGUGAUCGGCCACACUGGAACUGAGACACGGUCCAGACUCCUAUGGGAGGCAGCAGUAGGGAAUCUUCCGCAAUGGGCGAAAGCCUGACGGAGCAACGCCGCGUGAGUGAUGAAGGUCUUCGGAUCGUAAAACUCUGUUAUUAGGGAAGAACAAAUGUGUAAGUAACUAUGCACGUCUUGACGGUACCUAAUCAGAAAGCCACGGCUAACUACGUG
rnacentral:rRNA from 1 species